ensembl:lncRNA
GAAAAAAGCAAAGACCUGACACAGGACCUGAGAGAUCUACUGUUCACUGAAGCCACAUCAGAAAUGGUCUCGGUGGAAAAGAUGGCUGUCAAGAUGUCAAGAAAAAAUCUAAAAAAGACUGAGUAAGACCUGGUAUUUUUCCUGGAAUAAUUGGAAAUAUCUUAAAAGACACCACAAUUAAAAUGAUUCCUAUUCCACAAAGCCAUUCAGCUGCUACCCCAAGAUCCCAACAUAACAGUAGACACAAUACAGCCAGUAACAGGAUGCUCUUCAUGAGGUAAGACCUGCUGCAUAAUUCCCCCUCUGCGUCUUUUCUUGCCCUUUCCUCCUCUUGUCUCCACAGCUUUCUCUUCAUCUUCUUUAGGUCUUCAUCCUUGUAAUGCUCCCUCAGAUUUUCCUCCUUUUUGCUGAUUUCUUCUUGUCUCUCUGCAAGGAUGCUUUCCUGUCUUUUUCUGAUUUUCCUCUCCUUCUCAGGAUACAGCUCUGUCUUGUAGUAACUACCUCCAUUCAGGGCCACCAGAGUCUUGAUCUUCUCAGUAAAAGUUGUGACCUGCUUCUGGCCCUCCGGGGUUUUGUUGUUGAAGACGUGGAAGCCACCGCUACACUUGCGUAUGAAGUUGCGGAGGUUCUCGUCACUCUCAGUAAUGAUGUCAUUUAUUGUUUUGUUUUCCAGGCGAUCGCCGUGGGUGAACAGCAUGAUGGUGUAGUCCCACACUGUUGGGCCAAACUUUGCUUCAAUCAGCAUGUGGGUGUCUUGGUCUUCCUGAGUCAGCCUUCCUAAAGGAACAACAUAUGCAAAGACGUGGGGUCCUGGUUCCUGGAGUUUCAGAAGAAUCUGAAAAAAUUCUCUCGGAUGAUGUCCUCCUUGUUGCUUCCCUUCUUGAAAAGCCCAGGUGUGUCAAUCACAUCGACGGGUAUAUCUCCAACCACGCGGGACUCUUUUUCACAGUGAACAGUGACGCUGCCCAGCUUCAUCUCUGACCUGAACACCGUUUUAUUGAGGAUGGUGUUCCCACUCAAGCUCUUGCCUGCACCACAUUUUCCAAGAAGCAUGAUCCUCAGCGGCUCUGUCAACCCAACAGAACAAGCAUUUUUAAACACUAUUCAGAGUUCAUGAAAGUUGUUGUGCUCUUCAUUCUGACUUCUGAUAUUAGCCGUGUUUAAUUCUUAGAACUUCAUGGCUUUCACAUAUUAGCCCAGACUGUUACAUUUGAGGGCACAAACCAACUUUUUUAUUAUGUUGUUACAUUGUGGUAAAUACAUAGCAUUUUGGCAUUUGUUGAUGAAUAUAAUAAAGAGUAAAGAUUAAUAUGUUGUAUGUGGUGUUAUGAUACAAUAUGUGGUUUGUUUUGUUUUUAUAUGCCUGUUGAAAUAUUUUUCAUAUCUUACUUUUUCAGAAAAUUAAAUUUUGUAUUAUUAACCAAAUUGAUCCAGGCAUAUAUGAUUCUGUUACUGCAGAAAUUGCUAUUACUAAAUUUAACCACUAAUUUCAACAAGUGUGUGGCAUAAUUCCGGCUACAAUUUAUUA